AGUCAUUUUAUAGCCCUUAUUCAAAAAAAUUUGAUUUGUAAAAAAGAGAUCUUUAUGAUCAAAUCUAUGGAAAGGGCUUACCCCAGGAGACCCAAGACACCUUUGUAAACUAUCACUAAUAACUAUCUCAUCAUUCUCUAAAAUAUAGCUUCCAUUACAAAGUUAAACAUGGUUUACAUCAAAAUUUGUCAGUAUAGAAACAACAGUAACCUUGUUUACUUAAUUUCCACUAUAAACUCCAAUGUGUAGCAACACUAUCUCAUUCUUUCUUUUAUACAUUUGGUCUGUUGAAUAUUUUAGUACUAUGUAUAUGUAUAUAUGACCCAUUAGCACUUAAUUUUUUGUUUGUUCUUCACUUGGUUUGUUAUAAUUAAAGCAUGCAAGGAGAGUUUCUUCAAGGUUUUUGUCUAUAAUCCUCACAAUACUCUCAAAAAAUUAUACACUUUGUACUCCUUCUUCCUUCGUCUCUAUGUUGCUCACUAUUUUUCUCUCAUCCACAAUGUCUCUUCCUCCAUUCCACCAUCUCCUAUUUAUAGGAUUGGGGAGCCACGAGAGAAAAGUUCCCAUCCUUCCACCAUGUAACUUCAUCAAAAGGUUGCCACAUUUUGUUAUGUCACUUUAUCUAAAAGUUAUCACUUUUUAUGAUGUCAUUUCAUCUAAAAAGUUGUCAUCUUUCAUCAUGUUAUUUCAUUCUUAUUCUAGAUUCUUCCACAAUCUUCCAUUUGCUUCCUCAUCGUUAUCCAUCUUUUUUUUUCCAUUUAACUCCAAAAUCGAGCUAAAAUAGAGCCCAUUAGACUCCUUUAAGCCCACCUAAGCCCAUAAGCCCUAAAUAGAAAGCCGUUAAAAAAUUCUCUAUACGUCUAUCGGUUUU
rnacentral:lncRNA from 1 species